rnacentral:rRNA from 1 species
UGCGGUGACGAUAGCGGAGAGGAUCCACCUGUUCUCAUACCGAACACAGAAGUUAAGCUCUCCUGCGCCGAAAGUACUUUGGGAUCACCCCACGGGAGGUUAGGUUGUUGCCGCAU